CAGGGGCUUAGGGCACCUGUUUCUAAAGAUUGCUGGGGCAGCGGGGGCAGCAGAGAAGGGGAAAAACCCUGAGGCUCCGGCCUUGUCUACACUGCACAGUUCUGUUGGCAAAAACAGUCUGAAGAGCUUACGACCGUUUGGCUCAGCAGAGUCCUUACUUUUGCAAAACAAGGUCAUGCUGCCUUGUUAAUACCAGCUCAACCCAAAGCCAUGCGCACACCAACUUCAGCUAACAGCUAAAUCAUAUUGAAUCCUUUCACCAGUGUUAAAUCUGUAUCUACAGUGUCACCCAGCUCUCCCCACUCCCAGGCCCAGACCCAGACCCUAGAGAGCUGCUCCAGCAUCCACCCCAAUGGCUGCUCUGGAAGACAUUUCUUAAUGCCUGUUUUUACAGCUCAGUAAUGCAGACGGUGUUUCUUUAAAAAUGCAUCACAAACAGUGAAAGUGAAAGCUUCCGAGACUUGUUGAGGAGAAGCCAACACACUGGCUCAGUUGCCAUCUGACUGAAGAGCCGUGAGGAUGUCUAUCCUGUUCCAGGUGUUUGUAGAAGGGGUGGAGGGCAGAAAAAGCAUCAUAGAUGUGGCAAACAAAGAGCAGGAAUUCAACAAUAUGACCACUGACAAAUUCAUGGAGAUGGUGGCAGCCAAACUCCUGAAGAAGCCAGGUUACCAACAGUUUAGUUUGCUGUACGCUAACCAACAAAUGGAAAGAGGGAAGAAAUUCUCAGAUUAUUUUAUCAGAAACAAGUCUACCUUCGUCAUGGUUAUACAGCUGCCUGGAGGAGGGAGUAACAUGUUGACUGAAUGAAGGACUGUUUUCACAUAGAAAAUGAUGUGCAUCGGGGCCUACCCUGGACUGUGGUGGGUUCCUGCAUAGGCAUGGAUUUGGUUAUCAUUUGCCUGGAAAGAAUCCAGAGAGGGGAGUGGUGAUGAGCCUCAAAGGUCACUGUCACACCCAGAGCUCAGCACACCAGAGGGGACACCCGGACAUCACUGCCAGUCCACCAAGCCACCAGGUUGAUAAACAUGAGGAUUCUGCUGUUUUCCUUUCCCUUGUGUGUUCCUUUCCAUCCCCUGCUAUCUUCCGCCUGUCCUAUCUCUCUCUCUGUGUGUCUUUGAGCUGAUCCUGUAACCAACUGCAAGGCAUGACACCAGCACAAUGGGAUCAGAGAGCCACUCAGGGAAGGACUGGUGAAGAAAAGGACCUGCCCAGACCAGCCAGAUGAUGACCAGGAGCCGGAAAAUGAGUCAGGGUCCAGAACAACAGCUAUCCUGACCGACUUGCCAGUCCAGAGAGCAUCUGUCCAUGACAGACCAGCUGUCUUGUGUCCUGAAAACACCAACAAAAAGCUGUAUUUCUCCCACCUUAUUAUCUGUUCUCUUCUUCCACUUCCCUCUGCAUCCGUUUUGUUAAAAGCAGGGAAAGUAACCACAAAACUCACAGCUCUCAACAAAAGAACGAACUGUCUUCCCCGCUAAGAACUGAGCCAGAAUGAGAGACUCUCACCAAUAUCCUCUCUGAAAAAAGGAACGUCAAGUUUUGCUUACGAUUGUUUUGCUUAACGCUCACUUUCAAAAUACUUUGUCUUGUUUUAAAUUCUUUUCUUGUGUAUCCUGAUCAAUAAAUUUCCAAGCUGCA